CAUGCAAGUCGAGGGGUAUAGGUUUUCGGACCUAGAGACCGGCGCACGGGUGCGUAACGCGUAUGCAAUCUACCUUUCACAGAGGGAUAGCCCAGAGAAAUUUGGAUUAAUACCUCAUAGUAUUAUAGAGUGGCAUCACUUUAUAAUUAAAGUCACAACGGUGAAAGAUGAGCAUGCGUCCCAUUAGCUAGAUGGUAAGGUAACGGCUUACCAUGGCUACGAUGGGUAGGGGUCCUGAGAGGGAGAUCCCCCACACUGGUACUGAGACACGGACCAGACUCCUACGGGAGGCAGCAGUGAGGAAUAUUGGACAAUGGGCGCAAGCCUGAUCCAGCCAUGCCGCGUGCAGGAUGACGGUCCUAUGGAUUGUAAACUGCUUUUGCACAGGAAGAAACAACGCUACGUGUAGCGUCUUGACGGUACUGUGAGAAUAAGGAUCGGCUAACUCCGUGCCAGCAGCCGCGGUAAUACGGAGGAUCCAAGCGUUAUCCGGAAUCAUUGGGUUUAAAGGGUCCGUAGGCGGUUUAGUAAGUCAGUGGUGAAAGCCCAUCGCUCAACGGUGGAACGGCCAUUGAUACUGCUAGACUUGAAUUAUUAGGAAGUAACUAGAAUAUGUAGUGUAGCGGUGAAAUGCUUAGAGAUUACAUGGAAUACCAAUUGCGAAGGCAGGUUACUACUAAUGGAUUGACGCUGAUGGACGAAAGCGUGGGUAGCGAACAGGAUUAGAUACCCUGGUAGUCCACGCCGUAAACGAUGGAUACUAGCUGUUGGGCGCAAGUUCAGUGGCUAAGCGAAAGUGAUAAGUAUCCCACCUGGGGAGUACGUUCGCAAGAAUGAAACUCAAAGGAAUUGACGGGGGCCCGCACAAGCGGUGGAGCAUGUGGUUUAAUUCGAUGAUACGCGAGGAACCUUA
rnacentral:rRNA from 1 species